AAAAAGGCAAACCCUGGGUUUUCGUGUCCAACUUUAACGGUCCGUCUUAUAUGAAAUUUUUUUAUAAUUCAUAUUUUCAUUAUUGUUAGAUGAUAAAACAUGAUUAAUAUUUUAUGCGUGACUUGUUUUUUUAAUUUUUUUCAUAAUUUUUUCAAAUAAGAUGGACGGUCAAACGUUGGACACGGAAACCAGGGUUUGUCUUUUU
rnacentral:pre_miRNA from 1 species